GCGGAGGAAAAGAAACCAACAGGGAUUGCCCUAGUAACGGCGAGUGAAGCGGCAACAGCUCAAAUUUGAAAGCUGGCCUUCUGGCCCGCAUUGUAAUUUGUAGAGGAUGCUUUUGGUGCGGUACCUUCCGAGUUCCUUGGAACAGGACGCCUUAGAGGGUGAGAGCCCCGUACGGUUGGAUGCCUAGCCUGUGUAAAGCUCCUUCGACGAGUCGAGUAGUUUGGGAAUGCUGCUCUAAAUGGGAGGUAAAUUUCUUCUAAAGCUAAAUAUUGGCCAGAGACCGAUAGCGCACAAGUAGAGUGAUCGAAAGAUGAAAAGCACUUUGAAAAGAGGGUUAAAUAGCACGUGAAAUUGUUGAAAGGGAAGGAUUUAUCGCCAGACCUUUGCCUGGCGGAUCAUCCGGUGUUCUCACCGGUGCACUUCGCCAGGCCGAGGCCAGCAUCGAUUUUGGCCGGGGGAUAAAGGCUUUGGGAAUGUGACUCCCCCCGGGGAGUGUUAUAGCCCGCUGCGUAAUACCCUGGCCGGGAUCGAGGUCCGCGCUCUGCAAGGAUGCUGGCAUAAUGGUGAUCAAUCACCCGUCUUGAAACACGGACCAAGGAGUCGAACAUUUGUGCGAGUGUUUGGGUGUCAAACCCUCACGCGUAAUGAAAGUGAACGGAGGUGAGAGCCCUCGGGUGCAUCAUCGACCGAUCCUGAUGUCUUCGGAUGGAUUUGAGUAGGAGCAUAACUGUUCGGACCCGAAAGAUGGUGAACUAUGCGUGGAUAGGGUGAAGCCAGAGGAAACUCUGGUGGAGGCUCGCAGCGGUUCUGACGUGCAAAUCGAUCGUCAAAUCUGCGCAUGGGGGCGAAAGACUAAUCGA
rnacentral:misc_RNA from 1 species